ACCUGGGAUUAACUCAGUGGGUAGAACGUGAGACUUUUAAUCUCAAGGUUGUGGGUUCAAACCCCACACUGGGCA